CUGUCGGAGAGAGAAAAUACAACAAAAUUAAUCUACUUCCUCUGGCGGAGGAUCUUGCAAUGCUUAGGGCGUACCUGGACAAAAAUCCCCAGACAAGAAAGUGAAAUUUUAGUUUGGGUUAGGCUACACCUAUAAAAAGGAUAUCACAGACUCGUGUAAUACAAAUGUUUACCCAACAGAGAAGCAUAGUGCUGGCAUACCAGAAAUGCAUAAAGCUAAUGUUUUUUUACUUUAUUUUCCAGAAUUAUCAAGCACUGGCCAAGUUUCUCAUAUCUAGUAAAAGACAAGUGUUAGUGGUAGUGCUCCCCCAACAUUACAGGAGGGUCUUUCCAUUUGAAGCUAUAGCAGCAGUCAGCUGUACUUUAGUAGUGCCCAGUCUUUUAACAGUCUUCAUAAUAAAAUCUUGUAGGACAUGCUCACAAUGCCACAAAUACAAUUGUCUGCAAUAGAAAGCCUGUUUUACUUUUUUUUUUAAAUCUAUGUCUCGUACUAUAUACCAGAUUUCUGUUACAUGAUAAUAGCAAACUCAAGUAUAGAAUAUGUGAAAAAUUUGUUUUGGUGAAGAUGAGAAACAACUGACACCCUUCAGUGCUUAUGUACAGUAGACAAUUACUUAUCUAUAAAAAAAACUAAAAAUAGUAAAAGCUAGCUGAAAAAAUGUAUAAAAUAGUAAUAAAUUUCAUUUCUAAUAUUGUAAGUUUAUUCUAUACUAUUUUUAGUGAAUGAUCAUACAAGCCCAGGGGCUUUAUUAAGAUCUUACAUUAGUCAAUCCCCUGAUUCGAGACUACUCUUAUAGUGUACAUACACUAUUUAUUUUAUACACUAUUUGUGUGUGUGUUGGGUGUACCACAACUUUCCUGUAAUUCAGUUCCUGGCUACAAAAGCAUAAACUAUGACUAAUGUUGACUCUAUCUGUUAAACACUUUUACAAACAUUUAACCAAUUACGUUUACAAAAACAAACUAUGGGCUGUUAUUUAAAGAACGAGCGAAAUGAAAAUUGCUUACCUCUGCUUCUAUUACUAAUCUUGUAUGUUAUUGAACCAAACUUGGACUGAACUUCGGUUGAAUAUAGUGUUAAAAAGUUGUUAUAGCAUCAUAUAAAAUUAGGUAUAAGCAAGUUCUUGAAAUCACCCAUACUGGUACUGGUAGUUAUGUGGGACUGUGGGGCUCCAUCUCGGAUAAUAUCACCCAUACUGGUACUGAUGGUUAUGUGGGACUGUGGGGCUCUAUCUCGGAUAAUAUCACCCAUACUGGUACUGAUGGUUAUGUGGGACUGUGGGGCUCUAUCUCGGAUAAUAUCAAAAUGUUAAGGGGCAGCAGAGGCAAGUACAUCUAAAUAGACAUCUAGUAGGUUCUAAUAAGAUAAUUUCUGAUAAUAAUACAAUAUCAAGGUGUCCAGAAAAGGGAAGGAGGGUAUCUGAAUAGACAUCUAGAAGAUCCUAAUAAGAUAAGAGGGAUAUAACCAUCUAAUUGCAAAUAAUCAGAGGGAAACAAUGAUAAUAUCCUAAUCUCAAUAUCAGAUAUAAGUGAUUUUUCUCUUUGUGGGAGUAAGAAAGCCAAACGUAGAAAUGGACAUUACAUCCCUUUACUAUCAGCAAAAAGCUAGAUCCCCCCUAGAAUAUUAUCAAGUGGUUAUUUUUUUGUAUCUAAUUUUUAUUAUGUAAUUAUAUUCAUUUAUCAUACUCUGAUUGAAAUACCAAGUAAACACAUGUGGCAUAAAAAAUACCUGGUCAAUUUGGAUAGAGCAUUAACUACUUAUUUUACAGUCAAGUAAGUAAAGCAUAUGAUACUUAUGAGUUAUGAGCGAUUAAUUAUAAAUUUUUGUGAUUACUCUAGCUUGUUACACUAAAAGUUAUAGAACGCACAAUAAAAUAUUCCGGUUCCGAAUUUAAACGACAGUGGAUAAAAUAUUUUUAUUAUUACAAAGUGCAGAUGGACAGGAUAGUUCUGUGAGAAAUUAGGAGACUGAAUAGUCCUAUUCACAGUCCCCGCCGCCAUCUUGGAUACAAACAUGAAAACAAGGCGAGAGUUGACUCAUAAUCAAAACAAACAUUGUUGUCAUUGCUGAGUUUUUGGCAAAAAUGGUUCUAGUUUAUCAAAAUGUCAAUCUCAAUUCGUUAGAAGACAUUCAGAAACUUUCUGUAAAGAGUCUUAGAGAUGUUUUACGUUCCUACAAAGAAAAUACGAGCGGCAUAAAGGCCGAUCUCGUCCUAAAAGUCUACGCGAUUCUUAUGUCACACGUGCUAGAUGGCGGGCCAAGUGUCCGGAAGUAGAAAACCCGCAAGAUUGCGUUACUUUAUAAUACUGUAUUACGUUACAUAUUUAGUUUUGUUAUGUGAUCAUGUUGUAAUUCGAGAUAGGUAAAAAAGGGGGUUGUGCCCCUAGAGUUGAGAUGCGAGUGUACUAUUACUACGGAGAGUUUGUGAUCAAGAAAUAAAGUAAAGAGAAUAUAAGUGAGUUUAUUUGGUUGUCCCCGACAAGCUCAACACAAGUUCAAAGUCAAACUGUUGGUAUCAACUUUGCCACAGACCAAAUGCAAGUGGGCUUUUUUGUGGGUACCAGGGGGUGAAGCUUGCGAGGCACAUCAAAAGGCAACAUUCCAAGGAAUCUGAAGUGGCCUGCCAGCUUGCAGGAACGAGUAAAAAGAACAAAGUAAAAGAACACGAAAGGCUCCGGCUCCUCGGUGAUUAUCACCACAAUUGCAAUGUCCUCAGCUUAGGCGAAGGACAACUGAUUGUGGUAUGCCUACCUCCCUUGUAAGUCGUGCCUUGGGUUUCACAAGGGGGACGACCUUUGGAGGCACAGAAAGAAGUGUGCGUUUAAACAGCAUGGGACAGACGAAGAAGUUGGUAUCACCUUUGCCACAGACCAAAUGCAAGUGGGCUUUUUUGUGGGUACCAGGGGGUGAAGCUUGCGAGGCACAUCAAAAGGCAACAUUCCAAGGAAUCUGAAGUGGCCUGCCAGCUUGCAGGAACGAGUAAAAAGAACAAAGUAAAAGAACACGAAAGGCUCCGGCUCCUCGGUGAUUAUCACCACAAUUGCAAUGUCCUGAGCUUAGGCGAAGGACAACUGAUUGUGGUAUGCCUACCUCCCUUGUAAGUCGUGCCUUGGGUUUCACAAGGGGGACGACCUUUGGAGGCACAGAAAGAAGUGUGCGUUUAAACAGCAUGGGACAGACAAAGAAGCCAACCUAUAUACCAAAUCUGUAUACGGUGAAGUGAAUAAAUUGUAUUGUGAGCGUGACGAGGUCGGCUUCGUGGCCAAGCACGAUGAACUAAUAAUACAGAUGGGGAACUGCCUCUAUGAUCAGCAUGGCGAGAGGCAGGCUACUUAUAUGAGCACCAAAAUGCGGGAGAUAGCCAGAUUGGUGCUCGAGGUCAAAAUAAAUGAACCGAGCCAACAUGGCCUGACUGAACUCAUCACUUCCCGAAAUUUCGCCCUGGUAAAAGAGGGGGUGAAGCGGGUUGCCGGCUUUAGUGGUGUCCAGCAUAUCUUCACCAUCCCUAGCGCACUUCACUAGUGCACUUCACUAGUGCACUUCACUGAAGUGGGCAACUGGGCUCAGGCGCCAAGAUGAUGCAGCUAUCCUCCAUCUUAUGGAUAUAGAGUGGGCUCAAAAGAAUUAUCAAGCACUGGCCAAGUUUCUCAUAUCUAGUAAAAGACAAGUGUUAGUGGUAGUGCUCCCCCAACAUUACAGGAGGGUCUUUCCAUUUGAAGCUAUAGCAGCAGUCAGCUGUACUUUAGUAGUGCCCACUCUUUCAACAGUCUUCAUAAUAAAAUCUUGUAGGACAUGCUCACAAUGCCACAAAUACAAUUGUCUGCAAUAGAAAGCCUGUUUUACUUUUUUUUUUAUGUAUGUCUCGUACUAUAUACCAGAUUUCUGUUACAUGAUAAUAGCAAACUCAAGUAUAGAAUAUGUGAAAAAUUUGUUUUGGUGAAGAUGAAAAACAACUGACACCCUUCAGUGCUUAUGUACAGUAGACAAUUACUUAUCUA